rnacentral:rRNA from 1 species
AAUCCAUAGGUUAAUGAGGCGAACCGGGGGAACUGAAACAUCUAAGUACCCCGAGGAAAAGAAAUCAACCGAGAUUCCCCCAGUAGCGGCGAGCGAACGGGGAGGAGCCCAGAGCCUGAAUCAGCAUGUGUGUUAGUGGAAGCGUCUGGAAAGGCGCGCGAUACAGGGUGACAGCCCCGUACACAAAAGCGCAUGUGCUGUGAGCUCGAUGAGUAGGGCGGGACACGUGGUAUCCUGUCUGAAUAUGGGGGGACCAUCCUCCAAGGCUAAAUACUCCUGACUGACCGAUAGUGAACCAGUACCGUGAGGGAAAGGCGAAAAGAACCCCGGCGAGGGGAGUGAAAAAGAACCUGAAACCGUGUACGUACAAGCAGUGGGAGCACCCUUCGGGGUGUGACUGCGUACCUUUUGUAUAAUGGGUCAGCGACUUAUAUUCUGUAGCAAGGUUAACCGUAUAGGGGAGCCGGAGGGAAACCGAGUCUUAAUUGGGCGUUAAGUUGCAGGGUAUAGACCCGAAACCCGGUGAUCUAGCCAUGGGCAGGUUGAAGGUUGGGUAACACUAACUGGAGGACCGAACCGACUAAUGUUGAAAAAUUAGCGGAUGACCUGUGGCUGGGGGUGAAAGGCCAAUCAAACCGGGAGAUAGCUGGUUCUCCCCGAAAGCUAUUUAGGUAGCGCCUCGUGAAUUCAUCUCCGGGGGUAGAGCACUGUUUCGGCUAGGGGGCCAUCCCGGCUUACCAACCCGAUGCAAACUGCGAAUACCGGAGAAUGUUAUCACGGGAGACACACGGCGGGUGCUAACGUCCGUCGUGAAGAGGGAAACAACCCAGACCGCCAGCUAAGGUCCCAAAGUCAUGGUUAAGUGGGAAACGAUGUGGGAAGGCCCAGACAGCCAGGAUGUUGGCUUAGAAGCAGCCAUCAUUUAAAGAAAGCGUAAUAGCUCACUGGUCGAGUCGGCCUGCGCGGAAGAUGUAACGGGGCUAAACCAUGCACCGAAGCUGCGGCAGCGAACGUAUCACCCAAGACAACUUUACGGAGUUGACGAUUGACGGAGCGAAGCGACGUCAAAGCGUUCAUUAAAGUCGAGUUGGCUUAGGGAUACGUUCGUUGGGUAGGGGAGCGUUCUGUAAGCCUGUGAAGGUGUGUCGUGAGGCAUGCUGGAGGUAUCAGAAGUGCGAAUGCUGACAUAAGUAACGAUAAAGCGGGUGAAAAGCCCGCUCGCCGGAAGACCAAGGGUUCCUGUCCAACGUUAAUCGGGGCAGGGUGAGUCGACCCCUAAGGCGAGGCCGAAAGGCGUAGUCGAUGGGAAACGGGUUAAUAUUCCCGUACUUGGUGUUACUGCGAAGGGGGGACGGAGAAGGCUAUGUUGGCCGGGCGACGGUUGUCCCGGUUUAAGCGUGUAGGUGUGUGUUCCAGGUAAAUCCGGUUCACUU